rnacentral:lncRNA from 10 species
UUCUAAUGAACACAGUAGAGCACACGUUCAAUUCUACCCUUGAAAUGACCAAAUUUCACGGUAGAAAUUACUAGAGUGGUUCAGGAAAGGCUUUACAGAGGAAGGACCCCUUGAGCUGAGACUGGAACAUCUUGAAGGGAAAGAAAAGCAGACAAGACAAACUAAAUCAGCAACCAUCCCUUUGGAUGCCAGCUGACCUCGGAUGGAGAUUUAGUGCUAGAUGUAAAAGGCUUUGUUUACAGACAAUUAAAAACCACAUAAAUUUAAAUUGUCAAAGAAGAAAUGGUUUCCAAAGCUUCUAACAGCCUGGUAGCCCCUCCUCAGCCCUGUGCAGGAAAGGCCCAGAGGCAAAUACAAAGCCACCAACCCAAAUGCCUGUGGAGUUUGCCAGAAAGCCAGAUCCUGCUGCUUCUGCUGCUUGUUACUGAUGUUGAAAAAUAAAAUCUUAUACAGCUUCAAAUGUAGGUUCUUUGAGUGCUAAUCAAACAGCAAGAAGGCAACAGAUGACCACGGAGGAGGUGGCUGCACGAAAGUACGCCACAAAGUAUGGAAUUACUGCAAGUAGGCCUUUCGGCAAUCAAUGUGUCUGAACCUUUUGUGUGCUCUCCAUUUUUUCCCACCGAAGGAACUAGAUGCAAAGAUUAAAAAGUGACACAAACACAAACGAUCGUCAGACUUAGAGCCUGAAAUAUUCUGAAUGUUCUUAUCUGUGUAUUUUACUUCUUCCCGUCAGCCAUCAGGCAAAAGGACUGAAGCUCCAGACAAGAGCAGCUCCAUAGGAAAAAACAAAAACAAAAAAACACCCUUCCAUGUUUGCAUCAAUAUUUGGUGCUGAUGUUGAUGAAUAAGUAAUGAUGUGUAGGUGUUGAUAACAUUUAUACACAGCCCUGAUUGGUUCUGACACAGGUGCUCCAUGGAGGAUGAGGUUUACAAGCCGAAAACGGUCAGGGGAAAGCCAUGGUUUCGGGCUGUCCCUCACAGAUGCGGGAUUUUGCACCUGUGUUUGAAGUUGCUCUUUCAUUUAGUUUCUCUGCAGAAAAGCCAGGCACAAUGUUCAAACUGGGAGCACCUGUGUUUGGGGCCAACUUGGACUAUUUUGUGGCCUGAAAGUGGUCUCUUAGAUCCAUUACUUAAACUUAACAAGAAAACUUUUUUUUCCCCUUGGAGUUUUAAAAUUGGAGGUUAAAAAAAUUAAGUUAUGGAUACACAUAUUAGUCUCAUCACAGGACCAAGCAUAUGCAAAGUGUUGUACAGCUUACUUACAUUAUUCAAGGACUUGAGUGAUAAAAGACAAAUGCCAUUAAAAAUUGGAUGAGCCCCGAAACCCUGCUCAUCGAUUGAAAUCUUUGUUUAAAUCACAAGGCAAUUUUCCUGUUAGGGAUGCGACAUUUAGGCACCAGAGUCAACUCAAAUUUAAUACAAUCUUAUUCUAUUCUAAUUUAAAGGCAGAAAUUGAACAUUGUUUACAGCUAAAUUAAAAUUU